GGUGUUGCAUGGCUGUCGUCAGCUCGUGUCGUGAGAUGUUCGGUUAAGUCCGCUAACGAGCGCAACCCUCGCCGUAUGUUACAAGUGUCAUACGGGACUGCCGGUAAAAAGCCGGAGGAAGGUGAGGAUGAUGUCAAGUCAGCAUGACCUUUAUAUCCAGGGCUACACACACGCUACAAUGGUCUGUACAAUUGGUUGCCAAGCCGCGAGGCGGAGCCAAUCCGUAAAGCAGGCCUCAGUUCAGAUUGCAGUCUGCAACUCGACUGCAUGAAGCCGGAGUUGCUAGUAACCGCAGGUCAGCAAUACUGCGGUGAAUACGUUCCCGGGUCUU
rnacentral:rRNA from 1 species